UGCCUACGGGGGGCAGCAGUGAGGAAUAUUGGUCAAUGGGCGAGAGCCUGAACCAGCCAAGUCGCGUGAAGGAUGACGGCCCUAUGGGUUGUAAACCUCUUUCGACAGGGAGCAAUUGAGUCCACGUGUGGGCUUAGCGAGAGUACCUGAAGAAAAAGCAUCGGCUAACUCCGUGCCAGCAGCCGCGGUAAUACGGAGGAUGCGAGCGUUAUCCGGAUUUAUUGGGUUUAAAGGGUGCGUAGGCGGAAUAUCAAGCCAGCGGUAAAAAUUCGGGGCUCAACCCCGUCGUGCCGUGGAAACUGACG
rnacentral:rRNA from 1 species